GUGUGUUGCGUAUGUCCGACCGGAAGCUGGAAUCGAUAGACUGUGAAUUCUGGUCAGUUAAUGGCAUCCGAUGGAGGUCUGGAAUGGCUCAUCUGUUGUUUGAGACAUUGGGUGGCGCGCCCGUAGACAGCCAAGCGGCUCUGACAGUUCAGUCUGUACUAGAUCCUCCGACUUUGUCUAGCGAACAUUUACCAGGAGCGACAGUUCUUGUCUCUCGCCCACCAAAUGCAAUAACUUUGGAUGAAGAAGAUGUAUUUCAGUGUGGCAAGUGCAAGAAGCAAUUCACUUCUUUCUGUCUGUUUAUGAGCCAUAAAAAAGAACAUGCUGUCUCUGGAGAGCAACUUUCAGGUUCGCGGCUGAAGCCAUUGGUGCCAAGUAAUUUAAGACUUUCUCUGGAUGGAGGUCAGCAAGAAGGAGAUGAGCGAGGUGGGAACACCUAUGCGCACACCCUGCAGGAGCGUGAUGGGGCUGAAGUGGGGCAGCCCGUCAUUUUGAGUGACUCAGACAUUCUGAGUUUCAGCAUUGACCAUGGUGCCCUCAAUAUCAGCACUGGAACCCAUGUUCUUCCUUCCCUGUCACAUGUAAUACAGACUGGAACAUUUCUAACCUCUGGAGAAUCAAGCAGUUCACUUAAGUCUCUGUCUGGAGUUGGGACAAGUGGUAACUUCAAUGUGACAACUCUUGAAGGCCAGCCAAUCAUUCUUACCGAGGGGACGUUUAUAGCUCCAGGUGGCAUCCAGCAGCAACAGCAGUCAGAUGCAGAACUGAGUGAUGGCAACAGCAAGAUCGUGGAGUAUACCAGCAAUACAGAAACUAAUCUGGAGUUCCUAAACACCACCACAGGUACUGUGGAAUUCACAACGCAGGAUAUCGUGGCACAGCAGUCCCAGCCUACAACUGGUGAUGGAGAAGUUUUGCUCAACAGUAUAGUGGAGCCACAGGAACCACAGCAAAUAAAAGCGGAGGAUAGUACUGACAUUCAACAGACAACUAAAACUCUCAAGUUGAGGUGCAGGUACUGCAGCAAACAGUUUGCCAAGAAUUUUGACUUGCAGCAGCACUUGCGAAGCCACACGGGCGAGAAACCCUUUCAGUGUGUUGUAUGUGGGCGGGCCUUCUCACAGAAAUCUAACGUGAAGAAGCACAUGGCCACACACAAAGUCUGGCCUCAGGGUCUAAACCGAACGCUGCCUGAAGAACCAAUCCAACCUGUUGCCAGGAGGGAUGCUGGUGCAUCAUCUGAUAAGGACUCUGAUCAUAGUAACUUGGAAGUUGAGCUAAUGGUGGACCGAGCUUAUGUUUGCCAAUACUGUUCCACAAGAUUUGAGUCCUACUUUGAACUCAAGACCCACAUGAAGCAGCAUUCACAUCAAAAGGUCUACAAAUGUAUCCAGAAAAACUGCCACCAGACAUUUUCUGACCUGGACACAUUUGUAAGUCACACACGAUUCCACUCAAGUGAGGUAUUGUAUCGGUGUCAUGUGUGCAGCAAGCAGUUCCACACAUUGGCAGACCUGGGCAUCCAUCACUAUAGCCACAACACCAAGACUGCGCCUCCCAAAAUAGGCAGUAGGUUUUAUCGUUGUGUGAAGUGCAAAAGCAAAUUCUCAUCUCCUGAGUCACUGGACCAUCACAUGGCAAUUAGCACUCACAGUUAUCCAUGCCCACAUUGUGGGAAGGUAUUUGCCUGUGAACGCUAUCUGCGAAGACAUCUUCCUACACAUGGGACAGCCCAGUCUUUCACCUGUCAACAGUGUGGCAAGGGCUUCCGCACUGAGCAAUAUCUAAACACUCACAUGCUUACACACAGUACGCACAAACCUCAUGUGUGUCAGCACUGUCCAGCAGCAUUCAACCGCAAAGACAAGCUUGUGAGGCAUCUGCUGAUUCACCAGUCAGUAAAGAAAUUCAAGUGCCCAUUCCGCUCGUAUUUGGGUUGUCCCAAGGAAUUCAAUAGACAAGAUAAACUAAAGCUCCACAUCCUGACACAUAGUUCAGUGCGUCCAUCCUUACAGUGCAAGAUAUGCAAUAAGACAUUCCAACGUCAGACACAGCUACGCCAACAUGACAGAACACAUCAUCAAGUAUCUCCUCACACAUGUGAAAACUGUGGCAUGGGCUUUAAGAAGAAGGUGUCACUAGCAGCACAUGAAUGUAAUCAUUCACAGGAACAAAUGGAUGAGGUUGGUGUUACACUGGAAAGUAACCUGAGACGGACUCAAACCCACUCUCAGUUACAGCAAGGAGCAAGGAGAGGUAUCCGAAAGGCCAGACUGAGAGGACACAUUAAAGAGACCCCACAGACAGAGGAGACCACCAAGACAGGGGACAAUGUUCCUACAAUUGAGAUUAUUGUGAUGCCAGUUCCGGUCUCGUUAGAGCAGCAUGCUGCCAGUGAUGGCAGCACUGGUGCUGGUGGCAGUGGGAGUGAGAGGGGUGGUGUGUAUCGUGUGGUGUUUCCUGGUGAGUCAAAGUUGCAGACAGUGUUCCAUGCACAAGAUGGAAUAGCCGUGAAUCAGUGCAGCCAGCAGCAGGACCAAGAAGUUCCUGUGGCUUCCACUACACUUUGAUACAGGUUGUGUUAUCAGGAGAUCCUCACGGCAUCACACCUUAGUGCUGGUUUUACCACCUUAAUGUUGUGGUCCUGACACGGUAAUUUAGUCUAUAUUUUGUAUGUGUGGCUGCUACAGGCAUAAGCUAGAGGUGGCUAUAUCUUCUACUACAUUGUUCCUGCAGUAUUACCAACAGGAUAGAGGUGUGCGAUAUCCACCUUAAUUUUGGCAGUGGUACCAGUAUGAGGGGCAUACAGUUACAGCGAGGUCACAUAACUGAUUAGUCAGCAAACAUUCCAGAGGCUUUUCACGCAGCUGCAGGCAGCUACUUCCAAGCUGAGUGGCGUAAGAGCAAUGUAUAGUGUGUUGCAAUUUAUCGUGUUCUAAAAACAUAUUAAUACGCGACCGGUCCACCACGUUUAAAAGCGAAAAACAUAUUAAUGCGUGCGCGGUUCACAAAGUAUUAAGAGGAUGUUCAUUUUGAUUAGACAUCAUUUCACCACAUAGGAGAAAUUAUUUCAAUGUUGCAAAAUGGUGUGUUCUUCUCAUGAUAGUAAAUUGUGGACAGUCCAGAAACCUAAUAGUACUAGAUAUUUGUAGCUUCCACCACAUACAGGCAGGAUUAACAGUAUUCAUUUUGCAUAUAAUUUCCCAGAAAGACAUGGCACUAGGGCUUCCGUGGUUUGAUGCUCCAUUUCAAAGUGACGUGUGAGGGUUGAUCAGUAAAUUCUCAGGUUGGUUUCACUGUACAUUAAUAACACUUAUUGUAAGGGCAGCAGACAUCAGAUAUUGUUGAUGAAGGAAUUCAACUACUUCAGGUAGAAGCUGCUGUUUCAUAUGGGUUGUGAUUAAAAUACAUGUUUGUAGCGGUUAUCUAAGCAUGACAUGGCCAACAGUGAAUAGCAUCUACAUCAAGUUCUGGGUGAAGCUUGGAAAGAAGACACUAGAAACAUGUGAAAUACUAAAACGUAAAAGUUGGGAAGUACUUCACAAGUACGCCAGAACAUUCAAGUGGUUUGUUCAUUUUAAAGAAUGCAGAAUUUUUGUUGGAGAUAUAUGCUCUCAGUGUCAAUCUUCAUUUACCGAGAAAACAAUGUUUCUCUUUGUGACAGACUUUACAUAUUGUGAGAGCCAGUCAGUAUGUUUUAUUUGGAUGUUUUGAAAUACCAAAGAGGCGUGAUUCAACAGAAGGAGCAUGGUACAUCUCAGCAAUGCAUCAGCUUACUUCGCUGACACCAUAAAGGACUUUUUGACAAAGCACACAAUUCAGCUGGUUUUGCACCCACUAUAUUUACCAGAUUUAGCACAUGGUGACUUUUUUGUUACAGGAUUGAUGAUAACUAUCUGAAAGAAAAGAUAUUUCAGAAAAUUCCAGGAAUCAUCCAAAAUGUGCCAUAGGAAUUGAAUAACUUCCACGAAUCUCAGAAUUUUAUGAUGCAUCCUUGUAUGUUGCUGUGGUGUAUGAUAAUUUCCGUUUCUUUGCAUGAAAUACUGAUAGAGAAGUGUUUGUUUACUGCUCAGUCAGCCAGCAUAUAUAUGUUGGCAGUACUGGUUUUUUGGGAUGACUGAUUCGUGUAGGGCUUGCAUAUGUACCUUACAGGAGAACCUCAUUAAUCGACUUUCAGAUAAUCUGUAGCACACUGUGGAUUCACAACAUACAGAUAGCCGAGUCUGAAGGUUUGUGACUAUGGUGUUGAGCUCACACUAUAUUGAUAUUGUGCAUCAUCUCAUUUUGAUUUAAGAAACAUUUCAGAGACUCCAUCGUGAUGGAAACAAACCUAGUUUCUGAAGUGCUGUGUUUCUAUAGCCAGUACAAGAUAAAUUAUGGCCAGUAUGUCACUUUAAUACUGCACCAUUGUCUCAUAUGCUUGGAUUUGGAGAUAGAGAUUAGUCCCAUUUGAGUUAGAUUUCAUACUUUCAUCUUAAUACAGAUAGAGAACCAGUAUAUAAAACAUGAAGAUAUAUGGUGUUCAAUAUAUGUGCCAGUUUUAUAAUGACAGGAGCUAUGGUUUAUGUGGUAUGGGCACAGAGUUAGUUUACUUUUCAAGCCAUAUCAAGAUGGAAUUUUUUAGGCUGUGCCAUAGCUCAAGCGGUUAGUCGCUGGCUUCCCACUGUGGUGACCUGGGUUCGAUCCU